UACGUAGGUGACAAGCGUUGUCCGGAUUUACUGGGUGUAAAGGGCGUGUAGGCGGGAUAGCAAGUCAGUCGUGAAAUACCGAGGCUCAACCUCGGAGCUGCGAUUGAAACUGUUAUUCUUGAGUAUCGGAGAGGAAAGCGGAAUUCCCAGUGUAGCGGUGAAAUGCGUAGAUAUUGGGAGGAACACCAGUGGCGAAGGCGGCUUUCUGGACGACAACUGACGCUGAGGCGCGAAAGUGUGGGGAGCAAACAGG
rnacentral:rRNA from 1 species